GGGUUGUGAGGUUAAGCGACUAAGCGUACACGGUGGAUGCCCUGGCAGUCAGAGGCGAUGAAGGACGUGCUAAUCUGCGAUAAGCGUCGGUAAGGUGAUAUGAACCGUUAUAACCGGCGAUUUCCGAAUGGGGAAACCCAGUGUGUUUCGACACACUAUCAUUAACUGAAUCCAUAGGUUAAUGAGGCGAACCGGGGGAACUGAAACAUCUAAGUACCCCGAGGAAAAGAAAUCAACCGAGAUUCCCCCAGUAGCGGCGAGCGAACGGGGAGCAGCCCAGAGCCUGAAUCAGUGUGUGUGUUAGUGGAAGCGUCUGGAAAGGCGCGCGAUACAGGGUGACAGCCCCGUACACAAAAAUGCACAUGCUGUGAGCUCGAUGAGUAGGGCGGGACACGUGGUAUCCUGUCUGAAUAUGGGGGGACCAUCCUCCAAGGCUAAAUACUCCUGACUGACCGAUAGUGAACCAGUACCGUGAGGGAAAGGCGAAAAGAACCCCGGCGAGGGGAGUGAAAAAGAACCUGAAACCGUGUACGUACAAGCAGUGGGAGCACGCUUAGGCGUGUGACUGCGUACCUUUUGUAUAAUGGGUCAGCGACUUAUAUUCUGUAGCAAGGUUAACCGAAUAGGGGAGCCGAAGGGAAACCGAGUCUUAACUGGGCGUUAAGUUGCAGGGUAUAGACCCGAAACCCGGUGAUCUAGCCAUGGGCAGGUUGAAGGUUGGGUAACACUAACUGGAGGACCGAACCGACUAAUGUUGAAAAAUUAGCGGAUGACUUGUGGCUGGGGGUGAAAGGCCAAUCAAACCGGGAGAUAGCUGGUUCUCCCCGAAAGCUAUUUAGGUAGCGCCUCGUGAAUUCAUCUCCGGGGGUAGAGCACUGUUUCGGCAAGGGGGUCAUCCCGACUUACCAACCCGAUGCAAACUGCGAAUACCGGAGAAUGUUAUCACGGGAGACACACGGCGGGUGCUAACGUCCGUCGUGAAGAGGGAAACAACCCAGACCGCCAGCUAAGGUCCCAAAGUCAUGGUUAAGUGGGAAACGAUGUGGGAAGGCCCAGACAGCCAGGAUGUUGGCUUAGAAGCAGCCAUCAUUUAAAGAAAGCGUAAUAGCUCACUGGUCGAGUCGGCCUGCGCGGAAGAUGUAACGGGGCUAAACCAUGCACCGAAGCUGCGGCAGCGACGCUUAUGCGUUGUUGGGUAGGGGAGCGUUCUGUAAGCCUGCGAAGGUGUGCUGUGAGGCAUGCUGGAGGUAUCAGAAGUGCGAAUGCUGACAUAAGUAACGAUAAAGCGGGUGAAAAGCCCGCUCGCCGGAAGACCAAGGGUUCCUGUCCAACGUUAAUCGGGGCAGGGUGAGUCGACCCCUAAGGCGAGGCCGAAAGGCGUAGUCGAUGGGAAACAGGUUAAUAUUCCUGUACUUGGUGUUACUGCGAAGGGGGGACGGAGAAGGCUAUGUUGGCCGGGCGACGGUUGUCCCGGUUUAAGCGUGUAGGCUGGUUUUCCAGGCAAAUCCGGAAAAUCAAGGCUGAGGCGUGAUGACGAGGCACUACGGUGCUGAAGCAACAAAUGCCCUGCUUCCAGGAAAAGCCUCUAAGCAUCAGGUAACAUCAAAUCGUACCCCAAACCGACACAGGUGGUCAGGUAGAGAAUACCAAGGCGCUUGAGAGAACUCGGGUGAAGGAACUAGGCAAAAUGGUGCCGUAACUUCGGGAGAAGGCACGCUGAUAUGUAGGUGAAGUCCCUUGCGGAUGGAGCUGAAAUCAGUCGAAGAUACCAGCUGGCUGCAACUGUUUAUUAAAAACACAGCACUGUGCAAACACGAAAGUGGACGUAUACGGUGUGACGCCUGCCCGGUGCCGGAAGGUUAAUUGAUGGGGUCAGCGCAAGCGAAGCUCUUGAUCGAAGCCCCGGUAAACGGCGGCCGUAACUAUAACGGUCCUAAGGUAGCGAAAUUCCUUGUCGGGUAAGUUCCGACCUGCACGAAUGGCGUAAUGAUGGCCAGGCUGUCUCCACCCGAGACUCAGUGAAAUUGAACUCGCUGUGAAGAUGCAGUGUACCCGCGGCAAGACGGAAAGACCCCGUGAACCUUUACUAUAGCUUGACACUGAACAUUGAGCCUUGAUGUGUAGGAUAGGUGGGAGGCUUGGAAGUGUGGACGCCAGUCUGCAUGGAGCCGACCUUGAAAUACCACCCUUUAAUGUUUGAUGUUCU
rnacentral:rRNA from 1 species